UUUGACAGGUCUCUGACGUCAGCGCCGGCGGUUUCCGGGCGGGUGGAGGCGGUGUGGGAUUGAGCGGCCGGAGAGGGACGGACGUCGGCCGGAGAAGGACAGACAUCGGCGGCCCUGACUGCAGGCUAGGCCCCCUCAGUUUGGCUACGGCAGCACUGGUGAUAUGCAAAGCUGAUGCAGCAUUGGUAGGAGAAACCAUUUCAGUAGGAAGACUGAUAACCUACCACAAGAUUACUGAACUCUAGUUUGACAGCAAAAGUACCAGAACCUGAGUGUCCAGUUAUAUUCACAUUGCUUGCCCAAGUUUCUUCAGCAACAGCUAACAUAGCCAAAGUGAUCCUGGAUUUAUCAAACACGGCAAAAUAGUUUGUAACAAUGAGUGAAUUCUGGUUAUGCUUUAACUGCUGCAUCGCAGAACAACCGCAGCCA